GACGAACGCUGGCGGCGUGCCUAAUACAUGCAAGUUGAGCGAUGAAGAUUGGUGCUUGCACCAAUUUGAAGAGCAGCGAACGGGUGAGUAACGCGUGGGGAAUCUGCCAUUGAGCGGGGGACAACAUUUGGAAACGAAUGCUAAUACCGCAUAACAACUUUAAACAUAAGUUUUAAGAUUGAAAGAUGCAAUUGCAUCACUCAAAGAUGAUCGCGAGUUGUCUUAGCUAGUUGGUGAGGUAAAGGCUCAGCAAGGCGAAGAUACAUAGCCGACAUGGGAGGGUGAGCGGCCACAUUGGGACGGGGACACGGCCCAAACUCCUCCGGGAGGCGGCAGUAGGGAAUCUUCGGCAAUGGACGGAAGUCUGACCGAGCAAGGCCGCAUGGGCUGAGAAGGUUUUCCGGUCGGAAAACUCUGUUUUUAGGGAAGAAAGAUGGUGUGAGUUUAAAGCUCAUCAAGUGACGGUAACUACACAGAAAGUGACGGCUAACUACGUG
rnacentral:rRNA from 1 species